ACAGGGUCUCCCUGUGUUUCCCAGGCUCUGCAAACCCAUCUCUAUCAAACCAAGACACGUAGUCAGCCCUUUUAAUCAUUAGACCUAGUGGUCUGCAAAGUUUGUGUUGGAAAUACUUUAUCUUCUCUCUUUUGAACUGGUACAUCGGCUGUGAUGCCCGGAGCUGCUUAUACUGUGGUUCCCUUGGCCAAUAAUUUGUUUAUGCCUAAAUCAGCCUUGCCUCUAAGUGAUAAGGAGAUACGUGCUUUUUCUUUUGUUUUGUGUCAGUGGUAUUCUCUAAUAGGCCGGGAACGGGUCUGCCCAAGUGAUGCACAGCCCCUUGGUGGGGCUGGCUAUAGAUCCCCCCGCAAAACUGAAGGUUAGGCCUAAGAUAUUAGCUUUGCCUGGCAAGAUGAAGAUGUGUGGACUAGGUAGACCUGUGUGGCAGUCUGUUUCUUUUAUAAAGUAAACAGAGUUCAGUUUGUUUAGGACUGCUUAGGUAGAUUUCUUACACUGAGCAGGAAUAUUUGUACAGAUGUUUUAAGGUAAAGUCAAAGAAUGGCUAGAUUGUAGCCUUUGACGCAUUAUAAUGUAUCUUUUCUCAGUGCCCCUGUUGAAUUCACAAAAGAAAAGGUAUUUUUGAUCAUCGGCUAUGAGAAACUUAAAACACUUUUUUUUAUAUAUAAAGGCUGAUUUAGUUAACUCUUCUUGCAUUUAAAGAAAAAAACAUCUGCUGAAAGUAGGGAGGGGGGAGGUGUGAGCGGAAGCGUGGUCUCCACAUUCCACAAUGAAUGUCUUUUCCCAGCCAAUUUUAAUUUGCAGAAAAACCAGGCACUGAGUUAGAUUCCUCGGGAAAAGUCCCUGUUGGCUGAUGAGCCCUGAACUUCUUCCGUGUACACCCUGAACAGGGACUGAUGCUUCAGUUCACAGAGAUAAUUUUUCUCUGGAAAGCCGAUAGAUCCGAUUUAGCCACCCCUCAUUUGUAGUCAUUGCCACCUUGUGGAUUACAAAGGAUAUUGGUUUUCAUCAAACUUCCAUUUCGAUUUGGCUUUUUAUGGCAAGUACACGUUGGCAGUGGAUUGCCGUGUUCCUCACCAAAAGGAUCCUGGUUUGUUCAGCAACACCUCACUUCUCCACUCACAGUUCAUUUAUGAUUCUGAUGAGAGUGUUUUUUCAGGAAACACACAUUUCACUUUUUGACCUAGGAGCAUCUGUUAGAAUUUUUUUUUAAUACUACUUUGGCAUUCUGAAAGUGUUAAUGUCUUUCAUAUCUGUUUAAUGCUAUUUAGGGAUAUUUAUGAUCACCUCUUGGUUACUCAGGGUAAAGUGUGUCGCAAUUUUUUUUAAACAGACAGGAAAGCAUUCACAUGAGGAAACAGAUUGCUUUAAACAUGUGCUUCCUGUGACAGUAAAAAGAACAAAUUAGAUUUAACACUGUGUAAUGAAUGCAUAAAUGUGUACAUUUAAGCUUUUAAAAGCUUUAUGUUCAGUUCUGGUCACAACAAAAAUUGAGUCACCUGUAAAAAUUAAAGAUGCCCAGGGUACUCUCAGACUUUUGAAAUGCCCAGCAAUUGCAGUCCUCACCUGACGAUGCCUCGUUGGAAUUAUAAAAAGCAUGAUCUAUUAGUGCUGGAGAGAACUAGAACAUUACAAGGCACAUUCAGAGGUUAAACCAGGUUACAGUCAGAUUCCGUACAUUUAGCAAAUAAAUCAGAAUUUGUUGUGGGGGGGAGAAUACUUCACUCUCAUCUUCCUCCCUAAGAAUCAAUGAAAAAAUCAAUUUUCGGGAACCCCAUAUAUUCCUCUGUCUUUCAUGAAAGAAAAAGAAGGAAACCUGAUGUUUACUUACUAGCAUUUACUACAAUUUAAUUAUAUAAGAAAAUGACUCUUUUUCUUAUGUAAUUCAGUUUGUGUUUUGUAUGCUGGCAGGGAGUGAAUAGAAUCUGAGUUAAUAUUUCCAGUUAGACUAGAGUGUGGAAUUGGAGGGCCUGAAUCCUCUCCCCGGAAGAAGAGGCACUCAUGGCCAUUUCUGUCUGAGCCUGCGGAUAGUGCCUCUCCGUCCCCUGUGCUUUCAAAGCUAAGGAUUUGUGGCACGCUUGCCAUCUCUCUGGCCAAGGAGGGCCAGGAGAGAGUCCCUCGGGGGAGGGCACAUAGUUUGAGGACAUCUGACUCUCUUCUAUCACAUACUGAGGUACUAAUAUCAAAACAGACUGCUUGUCGUCGCACGGUGGGGCAGUGCUUUUUUUGGCUGCCGUGGUCGAAAUGAAAUGGGCAAGCUGUAGUCCGCUUGGCAUCAGAAUGGGCUAAGGGAAGCAGGGAAAUCAGAGUCAGACUGUGAAUGCAAGUCACAGCCAAUGGUUAACUUCCUUUUUGUGUGUCACUUGGCAGCAGCGAGACUGAUGGUGAUUUUUUUUUUUAACAUGGGUGAGAGUUCAGUGCCCUAGGAAGAGCCGUAGAUGCUGUUAUUGUGCUUCCUCAUACAGUUGACUUGUGUUGAUUUCUUGAGGCCAGUACAGCUGUUCCAAGAGCCAGCUCCAGGAGCUUUGUGUGUAUGUACAUGGCCAUCGGACGUCGGAUGAAAAAGAUAAACGGAAUGUGUUGGAAAGGACAACAAAUAAGAAGUUAAAUAUGUGGAAAUGACAUGGAAAGCACCUGUUUCUUCCCUUUGUUUUCUUCUACGUCAUCAGGAAAUAAUAUUUAACCAUAGAAUAUGGUGUCCCUCUAAGAAAAUGUUUAUAAUUGAAUGUUCAAAGUAGAAUAUAGAUUAAAUAAGUAAAGAUGACUUGCCAAAAAAAAUUAAAGAACAUUUGAAACAAACAGAAGUCUGCAUCACACAUAAUAAGUGGCAUAACAGUAUCACCUCUCAAAAGUGACAAUAGAUGUGUCCAUCUUUAUGCCUUUAGCAUGUUGUUGGCAUUAUUAGUUAUUGUAUUGAGAGAGUAGCCACGCUAUACAAGAGAAAGGAAGGUAAAUUAGAUCCCUCACGCCCCCUUCUUCUGUGAAUUGUAUAUGUUUUUGAAUACACUCUCUGCCAGGACAGCAAAUAAAAUUUGGUUCAUCCCUGAUCCUCAGCAGAUUAUAAUCUAGGUAAAGGACAGACCAGGUUCAUGAAAUCAAAAAUAAUAAUUAGAACAUUUGGAAACUAGGGGAACAGGUCCUCAUAUUGUGUGCAUGUUUUAUCAGUCUAAAGUAGAUAUAGCUCUAUUGAAAAUUGUUGGCUAGUAAUAUGCUCAUUUUCCCAUUUCAUGAAGACUUAUUCUCAAAUGGAAGUUACAGCUGGCUAUCGUGUUUUUCCGACAAACUCUCUUCUCUGUGGACAUGAUGAUUUCUGUUGUUGUGGAAAGGAAGGAAAUAAAUCUCUUUUUGUUCCUCAUUCACUCAAUGAGCAAAGUGUGAUUGAGCUCCUAUUGUGUGCAGAUUAUAUUGUUGGAGCACAGGACAAAGAAAGCUAAAUUAUCAUCUUUGUUUAGAAAUUUAAGAUAUUUGGGAGCAGCAAGGUAGAUGCCUAUGCCUAGUUUAUUUAACAAGGCACUGAACUUUGCUGGAGAAUCCUAUAUUCUAGAAUAUAGUCCUUAUCUGGAAGUGACUACAGAACCUGAUUCUGGAUCACAGAGAGCUGCAGAUCUGGUGUGAUUAAGACAGUGGCCA
rnacentral:lncRNA from 1 species